GGGGAAUGGAACCUAUAGAAGCCCUAAUUUUCCAGCUUAAAUGAAUUUAAUUGUACAGGUUAGAUGGCCCGGUUUGGUCAAUUAUAACAUGAGAAUUAUAAAGAUCGAAUAUUAUUCAUUAUCAUGUAUGGAGAGAUGAUGUUUGGGUAUUUCUUUUAUUUGUUACCACUUCUAUCGCAGCUUCAUCAUGGGAUGGAACUCUCAGGCUUGAUUUCAUCAUGUCAUAAACUGUAAAACCAAUUGCCACAGAUGGUACAACCUGCAGAAGACAAAAUUAUCAAUAAAAAGCUUGCAAACAGAAGGUAAACUUAUUCUAACUCUUCAUUUUUCUUCAACUAUU